rnacentral:rRNA from 1 species
UGAAGUAAGUAAGGGCGUACGGUGAAUGCCUUGGUGCCAACAGGCGAAGAAGGACGCGGCAAGCUGCGAAAAGCCUCGGGAAGCUGCAAGCAAGCGAUGAUCCGGGGAUAUCCGAAUGGGGUAACCUGAUCGAGGCAAUACUCGAUCGUUCAUACCUGAAUACAUAGGGUAUGAAACGCGAAACCCGCUGAAGUGAAACAUCUCAGUAAGCGGAGGAAAAGAAAGAGAAAUCGAUUCCGUAAGUAGUGGCGAGCGAAAGCGGAUGGAGCCCAAACCGAAGGUAUUCCUUCGGGGUUGUAGGACCACGUCAUAUUCGACCAUACUGGAUAGUAGAACAGCCUGGAAAGGCUGGCCGGAGAAGGUGAAAGCCCUGUAGACGAAAUCCAGAGUGGGAAUUAGUGGUAUCCUGAGUAAUACAUCACACGUGGAACGAUGUAUGAACCCGCGCGGACCACCGCGCAAGGCUAAAUACUAGUUGGCGACCGAUAGUGAACAAGUACCGCGAGGGAAAGGUGAAAAGAACCGCUGUGAGCGGAGUGAAAUAGAACCUGAAACCGUAUGUCUACAAAGUGUCAGAGCAGAGCAAUCUGCGAUGGCGUGCCUUUUGUUUAAUGAGUCUGCGAGUCAGUGUUUGUGGCAAGACUAAGGGCUUCCGGCCCGGAGUCGCAGCGAAAGCAAGUCCGAACAGGGCGCAAUAAGUCGCAGGUACUGGACCCGAAGCGGAGGUGACCUACCCUUGGCCAGGUUGAAGCAUGGGUAAAACCAUGUGGAGGACCGAACAGGUGAACGUUGAAAAGUUCUCUGAUGAGCUGAGGGUAGGAGUGAAAGGCUAAUCAAACCCCGUGAUAGCUGGUUCUCUUCGAAAUGCAUUUAGGUGCAGCGUCACGUGCUGAUGCGCGGGGGUAGAGCACUGACAAGGCUAGGGGGCACACCCGCUUACCAAACCUUAUCAAACUCCGAAUACCGUGCAAUGGAACGUGGCAGUGAGACAGUGGGGGAUAAGCUUCAUUGUCGAGAGGGAAACAACCCAGACCAGCAGCUAAGGUGCCUAAAUAACGCUCAGUGGAAAGGAUGUGGGAUUACACAGACAGUGAGGAUGUUGGCUUAGAAGCAGCCACCAUUUAAAAAAUGCGUAAUAGCUUACUCAUCGAGUGAUCCUGCGCCGAAAAUGAUUGGCGAUCAAGCGUUAUACCGAAGCUCUGGACUUUGCCGCAAGGCAGAGUGGUAGAAGAGCGUUGCAUGCGCGUCGAAGGGCGAUGGCGACUGACCCUGGAGCACAUGCAAGUGAGUAUGCAGACAUGAGUAACGUUAAGCCGGGUGAAAUCCCCGGCCGCCGUAAACCCGAGGUUUCCAGGGCAACGUGUUUCGUCCCUGGGUUAGCCGGGACCUAAGCCGAGGCCGAGAGGCGUAGGCGAUGGACAUCAGGUUAAUAAUCCUGAGCUCGCAACCCUUAAACUGGGGGGACGCAUGAGAAAAGAUGACUAGGUUAUUGAAUUCCGAGUUGAGUCUACGGACUCAGCGCAUCAUUGGAUCGAGUGCCAAGAAAAGCCCCAGCGUAUGCUAAGCGACCCGUACCGCAAACCGACACAGGUGGGUGGGUAGAAUAUACCAAGGCGUAAGAGUGAAACCUGGUUAAGGAACUCGGCAAAUUAGCCCCGUAACUUCGGAAGAAGGGGUGCCUGCAGCGAUGCAGGCCGCAGAGAAAUGGCCCAACCGACUGUUUAUCAAAAACACAGCACUCUGCAAAGACGCAAGUCGAAGUAUAGGGUGUGACACGUGACCAAUGCCGAAAGAUUAAGGCAAGGGGUUAGCCGCAAGGCGAAGCUCUAAACCCAAGUCCCGGUGAAUGUCGGCCGUAACUAUAACGGUCCUAAGGUAGCGAAAUUCCUUGUCGGGUAAGUUCCGACCUGCACGAAU